GACGAACCGUGCGAACGUUGUUCGGAAUCACUGGGCUUAAAGGGCGCGUAGGCGGGCCACCAAGUCUGGGGUGAAAGCCCCCGGCUCAACCGGGGAAUUGCCUGAGAUACUGGUGGUCUGGAGGGAGGUAGGGGCAGCGGGAACUUCCGGUGGAGCGGUGAAAUGCGUUGAGAUCCACAGGAACUCCGGUGGCGAAGGCGGCACGCUGGACCCCCACUGACGCUGAGGCGCGAAAGCCAGGGGAGCGAACGGG
rnacentral:rRNA from 1 species